UGAACGCUGGCGGCAUGCCUUACACAUGCAAGUCGAACGGCAGCGCGGACUUCGGUCUGGCGGCGAGUGGCGAACGGGUGAGUAAUACAUCGGAACGUACCCUGUUGUGGGGGAUAACUAGUCGAAAGAUUAGCUAAUACCGCAUACGACCUGAGGGUGAAAGUGGGGGACCGCAAGGCCUCACGCAGCAGGAGCGGCCGAUGUCUGAUUAGCUAGUUGGUGGGGUAAAGGCCCACCAAGGCGACGAUCAGUAGCUGGUCUGAGAGGACGAUCAGCCACACUGGGACUGAGACACGGCCCAGACUCCUACGGGAGGCAGCAGUGGGGAAUUUUGGACAAUGGGGCAACCCUGAUCCAGCAAUGCCGCGUGUGUGAAG
rnacentral:rRNA from 1 species